UUUAAGAGGUAACCUAUGUGAUUGAAGCUCUGCCAUUUUCCUGUAAUCUGUGUAGUACAGUGGAGGCUGGCCCAGCUGGCUGUAUUGCUGGACUUACUUCUCUCAGCUAGCUUCAGCCAAGCUUGGUUGCUAAAACUGUUGAUCUGCUCUGCAUUUUGUGGACAUGACAUGAAUGUUUGGAAAGCUGUUUUUUGUCAGUGUAGUACCUAGAGAUUCAGUAGAUGCUGCACCACCAGUUCAUAGUUUAUAUGGAAGACAAAGGACAGAAUUUAUGACAUAACAGUUUCUGUUAAGCUGUUUUCAUAUUCUGCCAGGACAGUAUAUCUGCUGUAAAAAAAAUAAAAGUUGUCUACCCUAGUGGUGCCCAGCAUCAGAACACACCAAUUAUAAACCAUGCUGUGAGCUUUUCAAAUAAGAAAGGCUGGUCCUUGUUUUCUAUAGUGCAGGUUAACUUUAGGACUGAUGGCUUAUACUUAUCAGUACUAUUUUAAACGUUAGCUUAAAAAUUAUUUUUAUGUAGAGGGUAUUUUAAUUUGGGAACUUUCUUUUCUUGUAAUAGGUGCUAUAUGUAAAUAUGGAGUGAGAAUUUGCUUCAUUAAAGGUCUAGCUUAUUUCCCAUUUCUGUUUCCAUUUCAUGGUUUGUACUAAACUAAUAGCAGAAUGAAUUAGUCCCUUAAGGCUGUAACUACCUUUUCUCCCAGUUGUACAAAAAUAUCUCCAUUCGGUUUCAUCUCAGAUUAAGAGGCAAAGAAGCUAAGAAUGAAAACAAAAUGCAUAAGCUUGAAUUUGGUCAACACUGGACUAUUUGAAAUGAUCACUGUGUAUUUGUCACUGCAGUUUACUGUGUCUGAAAGGCAUUGUGUGUGUGUCUUAAUUUCAGUGAAAAUCAGAAUUCCUGCCAUUCAUGUUUAAACAAGUCACACAUAGCAACAGUGAACAGGAUAAAAAUGCGGGUUUGCAUUGAAACCGUUUUAGUCCUAACCUCAAUUUAUAUUAUGCAAAACACAUUUACAGACAUUUUGUUGGUUAUGUUUCAUUUUGAUUUAGUACUUGUUCAGGUACAAAUUCGAAAAGAAAACAAUAGCUGUUAAUGUUCGAUUGAGAAAUAAAGAUCCUCGUUAGUAACCU
rnacentral:lncRNA from 1 species